AGUGAACGCUGGCGGCGUGCUUAACACAUGCAAGUCGAACGAGUAAGUGCUGUAGCAAUACAGAUUACUGCUAGUGGCAGACGGGUGAGUAAUACAUGGGAAUCUACCCUAAAGUCUGGAAUAACUGUUGGAAACGACAGCUAAUACCGGAUAUUGCCGAGAGGUGAAAGAUUUAUUGCUUUAGGAUGAGCCCAUGCAAGAUUAGCUAGUUGGUAGGGGAAUGGCCUACAAAGGCGAAGAUCUGUAGCUGGUCUGAGAGGACGACCAGCCACACUGGGACUGAGACACGGCCCAGACUCCUGCGGGAGGCAGCAGUGGGGAAUUUUGGACAAUGGGCGCAAGCCUGAUCCAGCCAUGCCGCGUGCGGGAAGAAGGCCUUCGGGUUGUAAACCGCUUUUGUCAGGGAAGAAAAGGUUCUGGCUAAUACCUGGGACUCAUGACGGUACCUGAAGAAUAAGCACCGGCUAACUACGUGCCAGCCGCCGCGGUAA
rnacentral:rRNA from 1 species